rnacentral:rRNA from 1 species
UACGUAGGUGGCAAGCGUUGUCCGGAUUUAUUGGGUUUAAAGGGCGCGUAGGUGGCCACUUCAAGCGUGCGGUGAAGUCGGGGCUCAACCCUGAUCGGCCGUGCGAACUGGGGGCUGGAGCACUGUAGAGGCAGGCGGAAUUCCGGGUGUAGCGGUGGAAUGCGUAGAGAUCCGGAAGAACACCGGUGGCGAAGGCGGCCUGCUGGGCAGUUUGCUGACACUGAGGCGCGACAGCGUGGGGAGCAAACAGG